rnacentral:rRNA from 1 species
GUACCGUGAGGGAAAGGUGAAAAGUACCCCGGGAGGGGAGUGAAAUAGUACCUGAAACCGUGUGCCUACAAUCCGUCAGAGCCCUCCUUCGUGGUGGGGUGAUGGCGUGCCUUUUGAAGAAUGAGCCUGCGAGUUAGCGAUACGUGGCGAGGUUAACCCGUGUGGGGUAGCCGUAGCGAAAGCGAGUCCGAAUAGGGCGAUCGUAGUGGCAUGCUCUAGACCCGAAGCGGAGUGAUCUACCCAUGGCCAGGGUGAAGCGUCGGUAAGACGUCGUGGAGGCCCGAACCCACCAGGGUUGAAAACCUGGGGGAUGAGCUGUGGGUAGGGGUGAAAGGCCAAUCAAACUGGGAAAUAGCUCGUACUCCCCGAAAUGUAUUGAGGUACAGCGUCGUGGUUAGGUUUGCUGGAGGUAGAGCUACCAAUAGGACUAGGGGGUGUCAGAGCCUACCGAAUCCUGAUGAACUCCGAAUGCCAGCAAAUUCAUACACGGCAGUGAGGCCUGGGGUGCUAAGGUCCCCGGCCGAGAGGGAAAGAACCCAGACCAACAGCUAAGGUCCCUAAAUGUAGUCUAAGUUGAACAAAGGAGGUCCAGUUGCUUUGACAGCCAGGAGGUUGGCUUGGAAGCAGCCAUUCCUUUAAAGAGUGCGUAACAGCUCACUGGUCGAGCGGGGCGGGCAUCGAUAAUAACCGGGCAUCAAGCAUUUCACCGAAGCGAUGGACUCAUGCAAGAGCAUGAUGUGGUAGGAGAGCAUUCUGUGGGGGGUGAAGCUGGGGCGUGAGCUGCUGGUGGACUGCACAGAAAAGCAAAUGUAGGCAUAAGUAACGAGAAUGGAGACGAGAACGCUCCACACCGAAAGGCUAAGGGUUCCUCCGCGAUGGCAGUCAUCGGAGGGUUAGUCGGGGUCUAAGGGGCAGCCGAAGGGUGGGUCCUGAGGGGGAACAGGUUAAUAGUCCUGUACUACUCAUGCAGGUUUGUUGAUGACGGAGUGCCGGGGGUGGUAGGUCCUGACGGAAUAGGGCGUUGAGACAAGCUUUCGGGCGAGUCGAAUCACUGAAGGGGCUUCCAAGAAAAGUUAACAAGCGUUAAGCGUAUGGGUACCCGUACCGCAAACCGACACAGGUAGCCGGGAAGAAUAUUCUAAGGUGCGCGAAAGAAUCAUGGUUAAGGAACUCGGCAAGAUGACCCUGUAACUUCGGGAUAAGGGGGGCCUACUCAGCGAUGGGAGGCUGCAGAGAAGAGGCCCAGGCGACUGUUUACCAAAAACACAGGACUCUGCUAAAAUGAAAGUUGACGCAUAGGGUCUGACACCUGCCCGGUGCUGGAAGGUUAAGGGGGGAGCUUAGUCGCAAGGCGAAGGUUUGAACUGAAGCCCCAGUAAACGGCGGCCGUAACUAUAACGGUCCUAAGGUAGCGAAAUUCCUUGUCGGGUAAGUUCCGACCUGCACGAAUGGUGUAACGAUCUGGGCACUGUCUCAACCAUGAGUUCGGUGAAAUUGUAGUAGCGGUGAAGAUGCCGCUUACCCGCCACGGGACGGAAAGACCCCGUGCACCUUUACUACAGCUUAACAGUGAUCGCCGGUCAGGCAUGUGUAGGAUAGGCGGGAGGAGUUGAAGCGGUGUCGCCAGGCAUCGUGGAUCCGUCCUUGAAAUACCGCCCUUGGCUGACUGGCGGGCUAACCGCGGAAGGGGGGCCCUGUUUGGGGGGGAGGUUGACUGGGGGGGUCACCUCCGAAAGGG